ensembl:snRNA LOC120102612 U7 small nuclear RNA
AUAUAUUAUAGCUCUUUUAGAAUUUUUCUGUCAGGUUUUCUGACUUUGGUUGGAAAAUCCAU